CACGUGAUGAUAACUUCGACGGGCGGACAUAAGGAAAUCGCCUCUGGCGCUUGUUGAUGAGCGUCGAGUCCUGACUG
rnacentral:snoRNA from 1 species